rnacentral:pre_miRNA from 1 species
UUGCAUAUCAACCAUUUGUGGUUUGCAUUUGAACUGCGAAUAUAUAGAGUGCAUGGUUGAUUCACAGUUCAGAUGCAAACCAUAGAUGGUUGAUUACUGCGA